UACGUAGGGGGGCAAGCGUUGUCCGGAUUUACUGGGCGUAAAGCGCGUGUAGGCGGCCACGCAGGUCCGUUGUGAAAACUGGAGGCUCAACUUCCAGACGUCGACAGAAACCGCUUGGCUAGAGUCCGGAAGAGGAGAGUGGAAUUCCUGGUGUAGCGGUGAAAUGCGCAGAUAUCAGGAAGAACACCCGUGGCGAAGGCGGCUCUCUGGGACGGUACUGACGCUGAGACGCGAAAAGCGUGGGGGAGCGAACAGG
rnacentral:rRNA from 1 species